rnacentral:rRNA from 1 species
CGUAGGAGGCGAGCGUUAUCCGGAUUCACUGGGCGUAAAGCGCGUGCAGGCGGUUUGGUAAGUUGGGCGUGAAAGCUCCCGGCUCAACUGGGAGAGGUCGUUCAAUACUACCGAACUAGAGAACAGAAGAGGAAGAUGGAAUUCCCGGUGUAGUGGUGAAAUGCGUAGAUAUCGGGAGGAACACCAGUGGCGAAGGCGAUCUUCUGGUCUGUUUCUGACGCUCAGACGCGACAGCUAGGGUAGUAAACGGGAUUAGAGACCCCGGUAAUCCUAGCCGUAAACGAUGUGAACUUGGCGUCGGUGGCUUAAACACCAUCGGUGCCGAAGCAAACGCGAUAAGUUCACCGCCUGGGGACUACGGCCGCAAGGUUA